AUGGUGGACGGGAAGUUCCACGUGUCGCACCCGACGUCAUUCACGGCGACCAAAUCGUACACAUGGAGGGGCGCCGUGUUGGACGUCAGGAACUCCUCCAUGGGCGAGGCCGUGAUGGAGGUGGAGACCGUCGAGCUGGGCUACCGCAGCCUACGUGCCCUCGUCCUACUCGACGCCGACUCACGCCCCCCCUCCCGUCAUUACCGUCGAGGAGGUCGGCACAAGCCGGCGCCGGUGGAAGGCAAUCAGGGGCGGGGGCGCGAGCCGGAGCAAGCGGCUCUUCGUCGCCGUCGACAAGGCGCAGGUUUGGGAGAUGGGGAUCCUUGUCCACGUGUUCGUCGAGGGCAAUUCCUCCAUCGACCUGGACUACAUCAUCCACGACAGCUACCACAAAGGAACGAUGACCAUCUCCCGCGGCGGCGGCGGGGAAGAUGUUGCGUGGAUCGGCAAGGAGGCGAGCAACAUCUCGAGCGUCAUGAAAGGAGAGCACACGUACCAUGUUAA
rnacentral:rRNA from 1 species